rnacentral:lncRNA from 1 species
GGUGUUCUUUAGGGCCAAGAACAUUCAAUGUCAGUGAUCGACUAGUCAUGUUUGACCUAAUAUAAAUGCCAGGUUAUGCAAUUUCUGGGCAUGUUACAACUUUGAUCAUGUACUACUAAUGUAAUACUACAUGAUAUAACAACUAACCAGGUCAUACAACAUAACAAUAAAGAGAUCUGUACCUUCAAACUCACUGUCAGAGCUUUCUGGGUUUUCUGGGUUACCUAGAAACCCAGUAAGCAUCGAGAGUCCAAUUUGAGGCUCACUUUUCUUUAGGUUCUGGUCAUUAACAAGUUGUUUUUAUGGUUCAAGCCUAUAG